rnacentral:rRNA from 1 species
GAUGAACGCUAGCUACAGGCUUAACACAUGCAAGUCGCGGGGCAGCAUGGGGGUUGCUUGCAAUCCCCGAUGGCGACCGGCGCACGGGUGAGUAACGCGUAUCCAACCUGCCCUUCACCACGGGAUAACCCGGCGAAAGUCGGACUAAUACCGUAUGUUGUCCAUUGACGGCAUCCGAUUUGGACGAAAGGUUUGGCGGUGAAGGAUGGGGAUGCGUCCGAUUAGCUGGACGGCGGGGUGACGGCCCACCGUGGCGACGAUCGGUAGGGGUUCUGAGAGGAAGGUCCCCCACACUGGAACUGAGACACGGUCCAGACUCCUACGGGAGGCAGCAGUGAGGAAUAUUGGUCAAUGGGCGUAAGCCUGAACCAGCCAAGUAGCGUGCAGGAUGACGGCCCUAUGGGUGGUAAACUGCUUUUAGGCGGGGAUAAAAUGGCCCACGUGUGGGUUUUUGCAGGUACCGCAUGAAUAAGGACCGGCUAAUUCCGUG